UCUCCGUAGGUGAACCUGCGGAGGGAUCAUUACAAGUGACCCCGGUCUUACCACCGGGAUGUUCAUAACCCUUUGUUGUCCGACUCUGUUGCCUCCGGGGCGACCCUGCCUUCGGGCGGGGGCUCCGGGUGGACACUUCAAACUCUUGCGUAACUUUGCAAUCUGAGUAAACUUAAUUAAUGAAUUAAAACUUUUAACAACGGAUCUCUUGGUUCUG
rnacentral:misc_RNA from 1 species